AUAUGAAUCCCUCAUCAAUAACGGGCUAACCUAUAUUUCAAUAGGAGAAUUAAUGCUAGAAUGAGUAACCAGGGUCCUCCCUCUACGACGCAAGCUUACAUCCGCACAUUAUUAACAACUUCCCCAUAUACGACAAAUCCAACAAGCAGAGUAUUAAGUAUCUUGUUAACCCGACAGAGGAGCGUCCAUUAAGAAAGAUUAAAACCUGUAAAAGGAACUAGGCAAACCCGUCAAGGCCCGACUGUUUACCAAAAACAUAGCCUUCAGCAAACCAAAGGACAAGUAUUGAAGGUGAUGCCUGCCCGGUGACUCGAUGUUCAACGGCCGCGGUAUCCUGACCGUGCAAAGGUAGCGCAAUCAAUUGUCCCGUAAAUCGGGACAUGUAUGAAUGGCUAAACGAGGUCUUAACUGUCUCUUACAGGCGAUCGGUGAAAUUGAUCUCCCUGUGCGAAAGCAGGGAUAACCACAUAAGACGAGAAGACCCUGUGGAACUUCAAAAACAGCAACCACCCUGACAUACAUACUCCCCCAAGGCACUGGUUUGCAUUUUUUCGGUUGGGGCGACCUUGGAGCAAAAAAGAACCUCCAAAAAUUGGACCACAAAUCCAGACUGAGAGCAACUCCUCAAAGUGCGAACAGCACCCAGACCCAAUACAAUUGAUCAAUGGACCAAGCUACCCCAGGGAUAACAGCGCAAUCUCCCUCAAGAGUCCAUAUCGACAGGGAGGUUUACGACCUCGAUGUUGGAUCAGGACAUCCUAGUGGUGCAGCAGCUACUAAGGGUUCGUUUGUUCAACGAUUAACAGUCCUACGUGAUCUGAGUUCAGACCGGAGCAAUCCAGGUCGGUUUCUAUCUAUGAUGAACUCUUCCCCGUACGAAAGGAUAGGAAAAGUGAGGCCAAUACCACAAGCAAGCCUUCGCCUUAAGUUAUGAAGUCAACUCAAUUACGAAAGGCUAUCACACUCCCCCACGUCCUAGAAAAGGACGUCA
rnacentral:rRNA from 1 species